UGCCGCGUGUGUGAAGAAGGCCUUCGGGUUGUAAAGCACUUUUGUCCGGAAAGAAAACCCUUGCCCUAAUACGGUGGGGGGAUGACGGUACCGGAAGAAUAAGCACCGGCUAACUACGUGCCAGCAGCCGCGGUAAUACGUAGGGUGCGAGCGUUAAUCGGAAUUACUGGGCGUAAAGCGUGCGCAGGCGGUUUUGUAAGACAGGCGUGAAAUCCCCGGGCUUAACCUGGGAAUGGCGCUUGUGACUGCAAGGCUAGAGUGUGUCAGAGGGGGGUAGAAUUCCACGUGUAGCAGUGAAAUGCGUAGAGAUGUGGAGGAAUACCGAUGGCGAAGGCAGCCCCCUGGGACAUGACUGACGCUCAUGCACGAAAGCGUGGGGAGCAAACAGGAUUAGAUACCCUGGUAGUCCACGCCCUAAACGAUGUCAACUAGUUGUUGGGGAUUCAUUUCUUCAGUAACGUAGCUAACGCGUGAAGUUGACCGCCUGGGGAGUACGGUCGCAAGAUUAAAACUCAA
rnacentral:rRNA from 1 species